UUUAGUUCAGCCCCCCAGCCCUCCACUAUAGGUGCCCCUUUGGAGGUGUCCACAGGAAAGCAUAAAUUUGAGGACAGUGUCUGGAAGCAGUUUAAGCAGUAAGCAUUGCAGUUAGCAUGUUAAUCACCAAUGGUAAAAUGAGUGUAUGACCCACUGAUAUUGGGGGUAAAGUAAUGGUGAGCUUAACACAAUAAGGCAUUAUAGAGUAACUGAAUCCCCAUAUAUAUACAAAAAGAGAAGUCCUGCGCUCACUCCCAUCACUACUGGGCCAG